rnacentral:rRNA from 1 species
AUUGAACGCUGGCGGCAGGCCUAACACAUGCAAGUCGAGCGGAUGAAGGGAGCUUGCUCCUGGAUUCAGCGGCGGACGGGUGAGUAAUGCCUAGGAAACUGCCUGGUAGUGGGGGAUAACGUCCGGAAACGGGCGCUAAUACCGCAUACGUCCUGAGGGAGAAAGUGGGGGAUCUUCGGACCUCACGCUAUCAGAUGAGCCUAGGUCGGAUUAGCUAGUUGGUGGGGUAAAGGCCAACCAAGGCGACGAUCCGUAACUGGUCUGAGAGGAUGAUCAGUCACACUGGAACUGAGACACGGCCCAGACUCCUACGGGAGCCACCAGUGGGGAAUAUUGGACAAUGGGCGAAAGCCUGAUCCAGCCAUGCCGCGUGUGUGAAGAAGGUCUUCGGAUUGUAAAGCACUUUAAGUUGGGAGGAAGGGCAGUAAGUUAAUACCUUGCUGUUUUGACGUUACCAACAGAAUAAGCACCGGCUAACUUCGUG